rnacentral:rRNA from 1 species
UACGUAGGGGGCGAAGCGUUGUCCGGAAUCAUUGGGCGUAAAGCGCGUGUAGGCGGUCCGAUAAGUCGGCUGUGAAAGUCAAGGGCUCAACCCUUGGAUGCCGGCCGAUACUGUCGGGCUAGAGUCCGGAAGAGGCGAGUGGAAUUCCUGGUGUAGCGGUGAAGUGCGCAGAUAUCGGGAAGAACACCCGUGGCGAAAGCGGUUCUCUGGGACGGUACUGACGCUGAGACGCG